AGCGGUGUUCCGCUAGCGGAAAGUCUAGAUGUAAGAGGUAGUUAAGACGUGAAAUCUGCUGCCACCCACAAGAUGCAGUAGUGAUAAAGUCCAGAGAAUGUGGAGUUCCUUAUCAUUCAUCAAACUGAAGUUGAUUUGGUGUUCAGCAGCAUAAGUGUCUGACCACUGAAGAGAACGCAAGUUCUACAGCUACAGCAGGUCAAUCCACCAAUAUAUGUCAUGCACCAUGGGCAGAUGUAUCGAAGUUUGCAAGCUGGUCUUAUGGGUUGCAGUUUGUGUGACCUUCAUCGUCUUGGGUGCCGUGUACAUUGAUGACUGCCCAGUGAAACGUAUCAUACCUAUCCACAUGAUCAUUUCUGGAUCUUUCGGUCUCCUCUAUGUAUUCUUCUCCUGCUACAAGGACCGUGUUGUGUGCCAACAUUUGUCUAAACUAUUUUGGUUCAUGAUCAUCAUCUGGCUCAUUAUUGGCCAUUUUUGGACCUUCUCUGUAUUCCAACCCAACUACGAACGGAAAGAGAUCAUCGGCAACACGGUAUACUGCAACAAAUCUCUAUACCUCUUUGUGGCCUCUACCACCAUCAUAUUGGACAUUAUUAUAUGUGUGUGGCUGCUUGUGUUGUUCGAUGUAUGUAAAUGCUUCAUACUUUGUCUGUUCUGCUGUGUCUCUUUAUGCAUGUCUGACGAUGUCAAACCUGUGGAGGUUGUUGAGCCUUUGAGGGUUGUGGAGACUGAGGACUGUGUUGAACCUAAGGAGUGUGUGGGGACUGACGGAAGUGUGGGGACUGAAGUGUGUGUGGGGACUGAAGUGUGUGCGGGGACUGAAGUGUGUGCGGGGACUGAAGUGUGUGUGGGGACUGAGGUGUGUGUGGGGACUGAGGUAUGUGUGGAGACUCAGGAGAGUGUGGGGCAUGACGAGAGUGUGGGACAUGAAGAGAGUGUGAGUCCAACACUGCUCAAUAUUAAUGCAAUUCACUAUUCACAAUACCAAUAGUAAUUUACAUGAAUUUGUCUCUUUUGGGGGUGAGAUAAUGUAAAAAAUGUAGAUGUCAUCAUAAAAAAUAAGCAAUCAAUGGGUAAAUUUGUGCCAUUAUGUUGCCAAAGAUCAGAAGAUUCAAAUAAAAAUAUUAAUUCCCACUUUGAUUUUCAAGAUUUAAAAUAUACCUAUUUUAUCAUUACCAUUUUUGAACAGAAUGAUAAUCAUUUGGCUAAUAGGCUUAACACACCCGCCCUGAAAUAGUUUAGUGGAACGGCCCAUCAACGAAAACGCAUACCCAAAGAAAAUGGACAGGUGUGUUAAAAUGCCUGGGCCGACUUUUGGUCCGAUUUUGCCCCUGCUGUGGUUCGUAAAUCAUUACAAUUAUAAUAACUAACUGGAUCAAAUUGUGUGACCAUCAUCUUAGUGCUUGACAAAUACUAGGCCUAAGCACAAUGCCUCUCCCCUAUUUGACCUAGAUAGUUUGUGUACGUAUUAAUAUGUAGGCUAAGUGUGCCUUUAAUAAAAAAAUAUAUAAUUUACGUAGUUCUGUCCUUAAGCUGUUGUCUAUUAAUGUUCUGUAUUAUGUCAUGUUUUGUGUGGACCCCAGGAAGAGUAGCUGCUGCUUCACUAGCACAGAGAGGCUGCUGCCUAUUUACACAGACUUCAAAUCACUGGCCACUUUAAUAAAUGGAACAAUAAAUGUUUACAUAUGUUGCAUUA